rnacentral:rRNA from 1 species
AGAGGGGGCAAGCGUUGUUCGGAAUUACUGGGCGUAAAGGGCGCGUAGGCGGCCGCCUAAGUCAGACGUGAAAUCCCUCGGCUCAACCGGGGAACUGCGUCUGAUACUGGGUGGCUUGAAUCCGGGAGAGGGAUGCGGAAUUCCAGGUGUAGCGGUGAAAUGCGUAGAUAUCUGGAGGAACACCGGUGGCGAAGGCGGCAUCCUGGACCGGCAUUGACGCUGAGGCGCGAAAGCCAGGGGAGCAAACGGGAUUAGAUACCCCGGUAGUCCUGGCCCUAAACGAUGAGUGCUUGGUGUGGCGGGUAUCGAUCCCUGCCGUGCCGAAGCUAACGCAUUAAGCACUCCGCCUGGGGAGUACGGUCGCAAGGCUGAA